rnacentral:rRNA from 1 species
AGGGUGUAAACGCUGCAGACUUGGUGUUGGGGGCCCUUUGGGGGCAUUCAGUGCCGGAGAGAAGUUGUUAAGUCUGCUACUUGGGAGUACGUCCGCAAGGAUGAAACUUAAAGGAAUUGGCGGGGGAGCACCGCAACGGGAGGAGCGUGCGGUUUAAUUGGAUUCAACACCGUAAAACUCACCAGGGAAGACUGUUACAUGAAGGCCGAGAUGAAGACUCUGCUAGAUUUUCAGAGAGGAGGUGCAUGGCGUCAGUGACU